GACGAACGCUGGCGGCGUGCUUAACACAUGCAAGUCGUACGGUAAGGCCCUUUCGGGGGUCCACGAGUGGCGAACGGGUGAGUAACACGUGAGUAACCUGCCCACAACUUUGGGAUAACGCUAGGAAACUGGUGCUAAUACUGGAUAUGUGCUCCUGCUGCAUGGUGGGGGUUGGAAAGCUCCGGCGGUUGUGGAUGGACUCGCGGCCUAUCAGCUUGUUGGUGGGGUAGUGGCCUACCAAGGCGGCGACGGGUAGCCGGCCUGAGAGGGUGACCGGCCACAUUGGGACUGAGAUACGGCCCAGACUCCUACGGGAGGCAGCGGUGGGGAAUAUUGCACAAUGGGCGCAAGCCUGAUGCAGCAACGCCGCGUGCGGGAUGACGGCCUUCGGGUUGUAAACCGCUUUCAGCAGGGACGAAGCUUUUUGUGACGGUACCUGCAGAAGAAGCACCGGCUAACUACGUG
rnacentral:rRNA from 1 species